AGAGUUUGAUCCUGGCUCAGAUUGAACGCUGGCGGAAUGCUUUACACAUGCAAGUCGAACGGCAGCACGGGAGCUUGCUCCUGGUGGCGAGUGGCGAACGGGUGAGUAAUGCGUCGGAACGUACCGAGUAAUGGGGGAUAACGCAGCGAAAGUUGUGCUAAUACCGCAUACGCCCUGAGGGGGAAAGUGGGGGAUCGCAAGACCUCACGUUAUUCGAGCGGCCGACGUCUGAUUAGCUAGUUGGUGGGGUAAAGGCCUACCAAGGCGACGAUCAGUAGCGGGUCUGAGAGGAUGAUCCGCCACACUGGGACUGAGACACGGCCCAGACUCCUACGGGAGGCAGCAGUGGGGAAUUUUGGACAAUGGGGGCAACCCUGAUCCAGCCAUUCCGCGUGAGUGAAGAAGGCCUUCGGGUUGUAAAGCUCUUUCAGCAGGAACGAAACGGUGCGCUCUAACAUAGCGUGCUAAUGACGGUACCUGCAGAAGAAGCACCGGCUAACUACGUGCCAGCAGCCGCGGUAAUACGUAGGGUGCGAGCGUUAAUCGGAAUUACUGGGCGUAAAGCGUGCGCAGGCGGAUUGUUAAGCAAGACGUGAAAUCCCCGGGCUUAACCUGGGAAUGGCGUUUUGAACUGGCAGUCUAGAGUGUGUCAGAGGGGGGUGGAAUUCCACGUGUAGCAGUGAAAUGCGUAGAGAUGUGGAGGAACACCAAUGGCGAAGGCAGCCCCCCUGGGAUAACACUGACGCUCAUGUACGAAAGCGUGGGUAGCAAACAGGAUUAGAUACCCUGGUAGUCCACGC
rnacentral:rRNA from 1 species